rnacentral:rRNA from 1 species
AAUCAACGCUGGCGGCGUGCCUAACACAUGCAAGUCGAACGCGAAAGCCCGCAAGGGUAAGUAGAGUGGCGCACGGGUGAGUAACACGUGGACAACCUGCCUUCGAGUGGGGAAUAACCUUCCGAAAGGAGGGCUAAUACCGCAUAACACCUCGGGACACAAGUUCUGGGGUUGAAAAGAGCAAUUUGCUCGAAGAGGGGUCCGCGCCUGAUUAGCUAGUUGGUGAGGUAACGGCUCACCAAGGCUUCGAUCAGUAGCCGUCCUGAGAGGGAGCACGGCCACACUGGAACUGAGACACGGUCCAGACUCCUACGGGAGGCAGCAGUGGGGAAUUUUGGCAAUGGGCGAAAGCCUGACCAAGCAACGCCGCGUGGGUGAUGAAGUAUCUUGGUACGUAAAACCCUUUCGGCAGGGACGAACCUAAUGACGGUACCUGCGGAAGAAGCCCCGGCUAACUCCGUGCCAGCAGCCGCGU